rnacentral:rRNA from 1 species
UGAAAUCGCUGUGAAGAUGCAGUGUAUCCGCGGCUAGACGGAAAGACCCCGUGAACCUUUACUAUAGCUUUGCACUGGACUUUGAAUUUGCUUGUGUAGGAUAGGGGGGAGGCUUUGAAGCGUGGACGCCAGUCUGCGUGGAGCCAUCCUUGAAAUACCACCCUGGCAACUUUGAGGUUCUAACUCAGGUCCGUUAUCCGGA